rnacentral:rRNA from 1 species
CCUACGGUGCGCAGCAGUAAGGAAUAUUGGUCAAUGGGCGGAAGCCUGAACCAGCCAUGCCGCGUGCAGGAAGACGGCCUACGGGUUGUAAACUGCUUUUGUACGGGAAUAUGUACUGUAAGAAUAAGGAUCGGCUAACUCCGUGCCAGCAGCCGCGGUAAUACGGAGGAUCCGAGCGUUAUCCGGAUUUAUUGGGUUUAAAGGGUGCGUAGGCGGCCUGUUAAGUCAGGGGUGAAAGACGGUAGCUCAACUAUCGCAGUGCCUUUGAUACUGAUGGGCUUGAAUGUACUUGAGGUAGGCGGAAUGUGACAAGUAGCGGUGAAAUGCAUAGAUAUGUCACAGAACACCAAUUGCGAAGGCAGCUUACUAAGUUGAUUGACGCUGAGGCACGAAAGCGUGGGGAUCAAACAGGAUUAGAUACCCUAGUAGUC